ACACAGAAAACAAAUUUAUGUGGGGAGGGUUAGCUUAGUGGUAGAACACAUACUUAACAUGCACGAGGUCCUGGGUUCAAUCCCCAGUAUCUCCAUUAAAAUAAAAUAAAUAAAUAAUAAACCUAACUACCUCCCCC